rnacentral:rRNA from 1 species
GGGUUGUGAGGUUAAGUGACUAAGCGUACACGGUGGAUGCCUAGGCAGUCAGAGGCGAUGAAGGACGUGCUAAUCUGCGAUAAGCGUCGGUAAGCUGAUAUGAAGCGUUAUAACCGACGAUUUCCGAAUGGGGAAACCCAGUGCAAUUCGUUGCACUAUCGUUAAGUGAAUACAUAGCUUAACGAAGCGAACCAGGGGAACUGAAACAUCUAAGUACCCUGAGGAAAAGAAAUCAACCGAGAUUCCCCUAGUAGCGGCGAGCGAACGGGGAGCAGCCCAGAACCUUAAUCAGCGUAUG